rnacentral:rRNA from 1 species
GCUUGUCUCAAAGAUUAAGCCAUGCAUGUCUAAGUAUAAACAACUUUAUACAGUGAAACUGCAGAUGGCUCAUUAAAUCAGUUAUAAUUUAUUUGAUGAUUAACUUUACUACAUGGAUAACCGUAGUAAUUCUAGAGCUAAUACAUGCGAAAAGACGGGUCGUAAGGCUCGUUGUAUUUAUUAGAUAAAAAAUCAAUACCUGUUCUGCAGGUCACAUUGGUGAGUCAUAAUAACUGUUCGAAUCGCAUGCUUCUGCAGGCGAUAGUUCAUUCAAAUUUCUGCCCUAUCAGCUUUCGACGGUAGUGUAGUGGACUACCGUGGCGUUAACGGGUAACGGAGAAUUAGGGUUCGAUUCCGGAGAGGGAGCCUGAGAAAUGGCUACCACAUCCAAGGAAGGCAGCAGG